AAUUGUAGGUACUUUCAAGAAAUAUAGUUAACUGUAAGUGCUGUAUUUUAAUAAUCUAUCAAAAAUCAAAAUCAUCAGGAUAAUAUUAGGUAUUGAUUUUCAGACAAGAAUUAGAUUACAGUGAUGGUCAAAAACAUUUAGAUAUUGCUUUGAAAUCUACAGAUAAGAGCAACAACACAAUAAAAAACCAAAAUAUGAACACCAGCAACUAAAACAGGAACCAUUAAAUGAAUAUUACACACAGCAAUAACAGCAUCAAAUAAUGGAAAUAAUGGACCCUACUGCUCAAAUCAAAAACAAAAUUUCAUCAUUACCACUUUAUUGGUUAUAUCAAUAAAAGAAAUUAUUGAGUUUAUGAGUCUAGAUCCUACAAGCAAGCAGAUCUAUCACAUAAUUUAAAAUGAAGAUUUAUCUAUUAUAGUAAUUUAUUCUAAUAAU